AGGGAUCGAGGCAUUAUGGAGGCAUUGUUAGUUCUCCUACAAGUUGCUGUCUGAGCUGUUGGUUCUCCUGGAGAAGCUUUGGUCUUCACAUCGAGCAUUGCUUCCUGGCUCCGGAGGGGAAGACAUGUGCUGCCUGGUCUCCAGGGUGAACUCCUCACGCUGCUUCCUGGCACGUUCCUGACUGUGCUUGUCGCCAGAGGAGCUCGGGGCCUCCAUGUCGCUGAGGACAGCUGUGGUUCCUUUCAGGACAGCCCCGCUCUUUGUUGUGAGUGUGACUUCUCAGCUCCAGUGUAGAACCCUCAUCCCACUAGCACAGCUCCUUCAUCCUGCUGGCAUGGACUUUCUGGCUUCCACCGCUGACCCUUGGGUCUUCCCGGCAUGAAUCUGUACAAGAGACUGGCAUGAGUCCUUGUGGGCCCUGGACUUCCAGUUGGACUCGUGGAGGCAUUGUCCUGAGCGCUGGGUUUUUAUCUGGACUCACGUGGGACAUUGCCAUGGGGUUUAGGCUCUUGACUAAAUCAUCUAUGUCAUUGGUGUUGUGGAUAGAUUUCCUGCAUUCUCCUGUGUUACUUCCGCAAGGGUAGUUUUUGAGAAAGAUGGAUGCAUAAUAACCCCAAUGACUGAGCAUUUUGCCAUUUACUUGGAAAGCACAACUGGACCUUGAGGAUAUAUAAUGAUGCUGAGCCUGGUAGAAAACUGGAGGACUCUAGUGAGUAUCUGAAAGCAGACAGAACAGAAGCUUUGGAAGAAAGCAGGUAUCCAGGUGCUUGUCCUAUAAGCUUUGCUGCUCCUUAUAGAAAGAGAAGUGAAUCAGAAGCAACUGAGAUGGCUCCUACACAGGCAGCAAGCCAGGAACAUGAUUGGACUGCUCCCUCAGGACCACAGUUUUUGCUCUACCACUGCGGGAAUGUGUGAUAGUGCUUAUGGUGCAUGUCUGUGUCACUGGGCCAGGACAACAUGAGCAGAGACACGCAUCACGUGAUUGUCCUUUGCUUUCAGCAGCCUGAGUUGUGUGUCAUUUAUUUCUCCCAUUCCCUAUGUUAAUUAGUGACACUGUUCAUCCAUUGUGUCCAUUCCCUGGAUGGGCCUGAAGUCACCAGCACACCCUGAAAUUUUCCCCAUAUUUUCACUCUAACACACAGACAAAGAAGGAGGUGUCAUACAACUGCAUAAAGUAAGGUUCAGUUUUAUUUAUAGAAAAAGGACAGGGAGAGAAAAAAGCCACUUUGAGAAGUAGGGUAUGAGAAUAUGGGUGACUGCAAAGAAAGCCAGGAAGGAGUCUUGCAGUUAUGUGAUGAAGUUCAUGGUUCCUCCUUCUGAAGGUAGUUUCAUCUGACAGGUUUGUCUUCCCCAUUGCUAAGGGUUUUGGUUUUAGUUUGGAAUUGACAUUGAAAAAAACAAGUACGUACAUUAUUAAAGGGAGACUUGAGAAUGCAUGACCCAGUACUCCUAAAUUCUCAAGAUCCCACCUGCAUUUUCUGACAUUAAGUGGGUUCCCAUCUGUCCUGAGAGAGCCACAAUUCAGUGCUUCCUCAUAAAAGAGUGAAACUUCUCCUGACAGUGCUAUAAAAUUGCGAUUCACUAUUAGCAAAUGUGGCUAGUUUUUAAGACGCCAAAUGGAUAGGUCGGAUCUUAGGAUGGUCUCAGACACUUGCGUGGGGUCCCAGGAAAGUACACUGCGUGGAAACCAGAGAGUGACAGGCGUCAGCCACUAAAUGAGUGUAUGACACCACCACAGACUUCCACGGAGAGGUGUCCAGGAUGUCAGAAACAUGAUAGUUGAUGAAAUACUGUCUGUUUUCAACUGAUGUGCACUGUGGACAUCAACCAAGAUGAGGAUUUCCACAAUAUUCUAAAAGGUGAGAUUGCUGCAGAGGUGGUUCUCACACCUGAGCUUCAGGCACUCCAGACCAAACCUGGCUGCAGCAUCCAGAAGUUCAGGUGGCAUCAUCCCUAGUUUUGGUGCCUUUCUAAUGUAAACAAAGUAUAUCAUUUCCUUAAAACUUCAGGUUCCGUGUCACUGAUUUCAACAUGAUUCUUUUUGCAUGCUUGCAUUUCAUGUUCAAACAAAGCCAUGAAAACUGAAGAGCAGGCUGCUAAGAUUGCUUUGUGAGCCUGGAAUUCCUGUCCAGCCACACACAAGCAACAGUCUGUGAAGUGGGAAUGCUUCCAUAGCCCUCCUAGAUCUUCUGCCAAGCAGCCCUCAGGAACCUUCACAUUUUUCAGAUUCUGGCUGGAAUUAUUGGUGGGAUCUUGUGCUACUUUCACUUCACAGAAGAGGGAAAGGA